rnacentral:lncRNA from 1 species
GGUGAGCUGUCAGGCGGGCUGGCUGUUCAGAGGUGGGUGCCCUGUGUGGGGAGGCUCUUUGAUUCCUGGGGAGGAAGGCUAGAGAACAGGCAGCUCUUUUCUCUCUGCUAGAAAAGAGGAGGCGGCUCCUCACAAGGUUCCUUCCCACAGCUGAGCACUGCCCACAGCUGCCCUUGCCCCUGCCUUUCCACGUUGCACAAGCCCAGCGCACGGUACCCACUGGAUAUGCCCGAGGCCUCCAGAGGAAAGGAAAGGAGGAAAAGGGACAGAAGAAAUGUUCACAGGAACUGCAUAUGGGCCUGCUACUUGUGUCAAAAUGUGACUGAACUCUCUUCCAGCAGUGUGAAUCCCUGGAAGGCAAGAUCGCCAUUCUGGUCUCUUGUGGAUAUCAAUGCUGAUCUCAGCUUCUGAUGCACGGCAGUCAAUUAAUAAAUGAUUGUUGCCUGAAAAACUGAGCCCCAAAACAAUAUUACAAGUUUAAUAUCAGUAAAGGAUUUAAUGCUUUCUAACAUGAAGAUACCAGAUCUUUUCUAUUCCUGGACUUUUAGAGUUGCUGAUUUUUGUAUAACCCAGAGAUGGAUUUAAAUGCAGAGUGUAUGAACUUCUUCAUUCCUGAGGGAGGACUUAUGAUUUCAUGAGAAAUGCCCUAGGAAAGGGGCCGGGGAGACUGAUGGAGAAGAAGAGUUUGGGAGGGAAGCCCCAAGGACCAUCUGCCCCAUCAGAGUCACAUGCAGAGGGUCCUGCUCCUGCCGUUGGAAGUUGGCUUCCUGAGCUGCUGAACGUGCCAGUCCUGCUGACCCACUCUCAGAUAUCACAGGCACCCGCUGUGUCUGACAGAGACCUUUCUGCAAGUACACGUGCAGGUCUGCUCUGCAAAGGCGUUAUCAUCUGCAGAUUAUUGCACAGAGUGGCUACGAGCUGUGGUGUGAUCCUGUCACAGAGAGAGCCUGGUCACGUUUUCAGAACAGCAGGAAACAGGUACACCUGUAAGCUUAUACUUAUCAGAUUUAAAAAUAAAACAAAAAAUCCAUGCUAUUCCAUGAAAAUCGGACUCAAAUAAACUUAGUCACUGAUCUGUGAAGUAAAUAAUCUGAUGGUAAUGCAUCAGUUGACACUUGGGCCUGGGUUUUUAGGCACUAAUGAAAGCCAGGGGCAAAAUAAUUUUUAAUCUACCAUUAUUUCCCUUGAUGGUUCGACAAAAGUUCUUGUACUAGAAAGUUUUAUAAAACUACUUUCUGAGUGUCCUGUGACAUUUCUCUGAUGAUAUAAAAAGUCAAUAUUUGAUAGCUUAAAUAUCAAUAUUGACAGAAAUAUGAUUAUUUAAAUAAAAACACAAAUAGUAAAAUAAUUUUAUAUGAUACUUCUAUAUAUUAGUAUUUUUAAAACUCUUUGGAGCAGAGAUGAACUUAACAUGUGGUAAGUAUUAGAUAUUAAAACCAUCACCCACAAGUUGCUUUGGGCUUUCUCCUUUUAUAUCCUAGUCAUUUAAAAAACUUAUAGUUUGUGGUCAUCCAAAUUUCCUUAUAGGUUUAAAGUAGGAAAAUGCCUAUGCUUCAUACAAAGCAGCUUUCUUCCUCCUUUUCAUAGAAAUGUAUGGAGUUACAAGAAGACUCUCCUCUUAGGUAUUGGAGAAACUUCUUCAAUAUUAUUUACAUUUAUUUUUUAAAAUUCUUUUAUGUCUUUAGAUUAUAUUCGGUUUUAUUUUCAUCUUUUCCUCUCACCUCCAUUAUAAUUAGCUAUCUAGUUUUAAAAAUAUGUACAAAAUGUCAAACCUGCAAACAUACUACCAAACCAGACCAAACAACUAUCCAUGAUGGAUGAUUUUCCUUAUAUUAUUUCUCCCUUAUUUUUCCAUUUUCUAAUUUGUCUGUCUUUCCUUGCUUAUUAGUUGUCUUCUCUUUUCUCUUAGUGUUUUGAUUCCAUUAUUUAGUUUUUCUAAGAAUGUUUAUGGUGUCAAUCUUCUUCCUAAACCAUUAUCUUUGGUGGGUAAAUCACCGUUCUUUGAUAUUCUAGUUCUAGAGGCUUCUCAUUAUAUUUUAACAUAAUCUGCACCCUCGUCCAUGCCAUUCAGACAUUUCCAUAUUCCCCAUGAUUUUGCUACCCAAAACUCUUACCAUAUAUAUAACCCUGCUAGUCUCGGGGACCCUGUGUUUUGUUCUUCGAUUUAUAAUCAUUAGACAUACUUCUGAUUUCGAUUUUCUCAGGAUUUCUAUUGGGCUAUUUCCUAUUUUCUUAGGACCUCUCAGAAUGUAUUUAGCAUUUUUCUCUUUCAAAUUCAAGUUUGUUUACAUAAUUUUCCUUCAAGGUAGCUAGCUGCCUGGGUUAUUUUCCAUAUUUAGGUUUCAAUUGCCAGCUAUUCAUCUGUCUGCCAAUGUUAUUUCACCACCUUGCCCCUUUCCCAUUUUUUUUUCUUUGGAGGAGAAUCAACUCUUUCAUCAACAUUCCCAAUGAGAAAGUUGAAACACCUCUUUUCACAAUGUCCUUUCCUCCUAGUUGAAAUAGUAGCAACAACAAUAACUCAAAGUCCCUGUAAAGGAAAGCUCUGAACCCAUUAUCUACAGUCUUUUGCUUCCCUAAGAGGAAAAGUCAUUAGGAUUCUUCAAAAUCUAUUCACCCUACCUUUCCAGCAGGCAAUAAAACUUGUCAAGAUGCCACACUUGAAACUAAAGAUAAACUUGUACAUAUAACCAUAUGCAUAUAGAUAAAUGAGAAAGAAUGUAAAUAGAAAAAAGAAAAAAUGUAAAACCUUAUCUAAACAAGACUUGCCAUGUGAUUGGCAGGCAGAAUAUUAUUUUCAUGAAGUUGUUUUUUAACGUGAAUCUGUGUAAACCACAAGCAUAUUCUUUAUCACUUGAGAUUUAAUAGCAUACAUUGAAAAAAUGUUUUUUGUUCUGACACAGAUUUUGUAUGAUAAUAACAACAAAGGAAAAUUAUACUAUAAAAAGUGAAACCUUUUGUCUAAAUACUAAAAGACAUUCAAAAUAAUUUACCCUUGCAAAUUUUUUAAUUUUUUACAAUCUUUUGACAUACUAUCUCACAGAUUUUCCUAAAAACUUUGUGAUGGAAUGGGGGUAGUUAUUAUUAUCCUCCAAACGUUUUAAAUAAUACAAGAAGUGAAAACCCUAUAGGACUUGUCUGGCGUCACAAAGGAAUUUGAGCUGGAACUUGAACAAGUUCUACUGCAAGUAAAGCCAAGGCUCUCUUCACUCUGGGACUAGGGUAGGAUGCUGGCCUUUUUGUUCUUAUUCCAGUUUUAAAUUGGCAUUUCCAGGUGCAAAUUCCUUCUUUUCCCCUAACUAGCUAUUUAUGCUUUGGAAAAGAACUUAACCUGUCUCUGGUUCACUUUCUUCCCUCAUAAAAUUAGCAGGUGGUUCUCAGUGGUUUCUCUGUUCCUUUAGGCCUUCAGCGUCUCAAAUGCAAUACAAUCAGUGUUUGUCUCUGAAUACCAAUAACUUUUAACAUUUGGCCUCAAUUCUAUUUUUGCCAUUACUUACUCAUCUCAUGCCCAUAUCAUAGUUUCUUUUCCUGAACUCAGUUCUUGCUUGGAAUACAUGUUAAGGUUUACUUCCACAAAUAUGUAUCGAACACCUGCUACCUCAGAUGAUGCGCUAUGUACCAAGGUGACAGAUCUGAACAAGGAGCAUUUCUCCCCAUCAAGUUGAGACAACUAUCCAGGUAUGCAGCACAUCAGCUGUUUUCCCCUCCACUUUUCUGCUGGUCCCCAGCUGAGAGAGCCUGCAUUUCCUCUCACCAUACUCCUUUUUCCAUAGCUUAUCAAGCUCAA